UACGGGGGAGGCAAGCGUUGUUCGGAAUUACUGGGCGUAAAGGGUGCGUAGGCGGCUUUCUAAGUUGGAUGUGAAAACUAUGGGCUCAACCCAUAGCCUGCAUCCAAAACUGGAGAGCUUGGGUUCUGGAGGGGAAAGCGGAAUUCCUGGUGUAGCGGUGAAAUGCGUAGAUAUCAGGAGGAACACCGGUGGCGAAGGCGGCUUUCUGGACAGACACCGACGCUGAGGCACGAAAGCUAGGGGAGCAAACAGG
rnacentral:rRNA from 1 species